rnacentral:rRNA from 1 species
CCUACGGGAGGCAGCAGUAGGGAAUAUUGCUCAAUGGGGGAAACCCUGAAGCAGCAACGCCGCGUGGAGGAUGAAGGUUUUCGGAUUGUAAACUCCUUUUGUUAGAGAAGAUAAUGACGGUAUCUAACGAAUAAGCACCGGCUAACUCCGUGCCAGCAGCCGCGGUAAUACGGAGGGUGCAAGCGUUACUCGGAAUCACUGGGCGUAAAGGGCGCGUAGGCGGGAUAGCAAGUCAGAUGUGAAAUCCUAUGGCUUAACCAUAGAACUGCAUUUGAAACUGUUAGUCUAGAGUAUGGGAGAGGUAGGUGGAAUUCUUGGUGUAGGGGUAAAAUCCGUAGAGAUCAAGAGGAAUACUCAUUGCGAAGGCGACCUGCUAGAACAUAACUGACGCUGAUGCGCGAAAGCGUGGGGAGCAAACAGGAUUAGAUACCCCAGUAGUC